UGAAUCCUUGGAGUUUUUGUUCACAAUCUUGAGUUGAAAAAAAACUCAAUUUCAAGUGAAAUCCUCAAGGUAUUCUCUAUUCUGAGUUUAUGGGAUUGAUUGGCAAAGUUGGGGCCAGGUUCCUCCUUCAUUCUGAGGCAACGAUAAUGUAUUUAUAGGCAAAUGAAAUGAUUUCCACACCAUUCAAAGGUUGAACCAAAUAUAGAAAUUCAUGGUGCAUGGACGCGUGUUCAGGGCCAAAUGAUGAUUGCAAUCCACUCAAAUUUGUGCCAAAAUGCUAC
rnacentral:lncRNA from 1 species